rnacentral:rRNA from 1 species
AGUGAACGCUGGCGGUAGGCCUAACACAUGCAAGUCGAACGGCAGCACAGUAAGAGCUUGCUCUUACGGGUGGCGAGUGGCGGACGGGUGAGGAAUACAUCGGAAUCUACUUUUUCGUGGGGGAUAACGUAGGGAAACUUACGAUAAUACCGCAUAUGACCUACGGCUGAAAGCAGGAGAUCUUCGGACCUUGCGCGUUUGAUUGAGCCGAUGUCGGAUUAGCUAGUUGGCGGGGUAAAGGCCCACCAAGGCGACGAUCCGUAGCUGGUCUGAGAGGAUGAUCGGCCACACUGGAACUGAGACACGGUCCAGACUCCUACGGGAGGCAGCAGUGGGGAAUAUUGGACAAUGGGCGCAAGCCUGACCCAGCCAUGCCGCGUGAGUGAAGAAGGCCUUCGGGUCGUAAAGCCCUGUUGUUGGGAAAGAAAAGCUGCGGAAGAAAACGCCGCUGUUCUGACGGUACCCAAAGAGUAAGCACCGGCUAACUUCGUG